rnacentral:rRNA from 1 species
UACGGAGGGGGCGAGCGUUAUUCGGAAUUAUUGGGCGUAAAGCGCACGUAGGCGGCUUAGCAAGUUGGAUGUGAAAUCCCUCGGCUCAACCAAGGAAGUGCAUCCAAAACGGCUGAGCUUGAGUACUUAAGAGGAUCGCGGAAUUCCCGGUGUAGAGGUGAAAUUCGUAGAUAUCGGGAGGAACACCAGUGGCGAAGGCGGCGAUCUGGGAAGAUACUGACGCUGAGGUGCGAAAGCGUGGGGAGCAAACAGG